rnacentral:rRNA from 1 species
AUUGAACGCUGGCGGCAUGCUUUACACAUGCAAGUCGAACGGUAACAGGCCGCAAGGUGCUGACGAGUGGCGAACGGGUGAGUAAUGCAUCGGAACGUGCCCAGUCGUGGGGGAUAACGCAGCGAAAGCUGUGCUAAUACCGCAUACGAUCUAUGGAUGAAAGCGGGGGACCGUAAGGCCUCGCGCGAUUGGAGCGGCCGAUGUCAGAUUAGGUAGUUGGUGGGGUAAAGGCUCACCAAGCCAACGAUCUGUAGCUGGUCUGAGAGGACGACCAGCAACACUGGGACUGAGACACGGCCCAGACUCCUACGGGAGGCAGCAGUGGGGAAUUUUGGACAAUGGGCGCAAGCCUGAUUCAGCAAUGCCGCGUGCAGGAAGAAGGCCUUCGGGUUGUAAACUGCUUUUGUACGGAACGAAAAGGUUUGGGUUAAUACCCUGGGCCGAUGACGGUACCGUAAGAAUAAGCACCGGCUAACUACGUGCCAGCAGCCGCCGUAA